AUGAUGCAGUUGGGUCGCAUGGCUCUGACUGCCAAAGAUUUAUCGCUCUGAGAUGGCCUCGCGUCUGAUUAGCCAGUUGGCAGGGUAACGGCCUACCAAAGCGACGAUCAGUAGCCGACCUGAGAGGGUGACCGGCCACAUUGGGACUGAGACACGGCCCAAACUCCUACGGGAGCAGCAUG
rnacentral:rRNA from 1 species